rnacentral:rRNA from 1 species
CCUACGGGAGGCAGCAGUGGGGAAUUUUGGACAAUGGGCGCAAGCCUGAUCCAGCCAUGCCGCGUGCAGGAUGAAGGCCUUCGGGUUGUAAACUGCUUUUGUACGGAACGAAAAGACUCUGGUUAAUACCUGGGGUCCAUGACGGUACCGUAAGAAUAAGCACCGGCUAACUACGUGCCAGCAGCCGCGGUAAUACGUAGGGUGCGAGCGUUAAUCGGAAUUACUGGGCGUAAAGCGUGCGCAGGCGGUUAUAUAAGACAGAUGUGAAAUCCCCGGGCUCAACCUGGGAACUGCAUUUGUGACUGUAUAGCUAGAGUACGGCAGAGGGGGAUGGAAUUCCGCGUGUAGCAGUGAAAUGCGUAGAUAUGCGGAGGAACACCGAUGGCGAAGGCAAUCCCCUGGGCCUGUACUGACGCUCAUGCACGAAAGCGUGGGGAGCAAACAGGAUUAGAUACCCUGGUAGUCCACGCCCUAAACGAUGUCAACUGGUUGUUGGGUCUUCACUGACUCAGUAACGAAGCUAACGCGUGAAGUUGACCGCCUGGGGAGUACGGCCGCAAGGUUGAAACUCAAAUGAAUUGAGGCUGGAGAGACGACGAGGACGACGACGAGGGGAGGAGG